rnacentral:misc_RNA from 1 species
AAGUCGUAACAAGGUUUCCGUAGGUGAACCUGCGGAAGGAUCAUUAUUGAUUGGUCGAAAGACCUUAUCAGAUUCUACCACCUCUGUGAACUGUUCGACCUCCGGGUCUACAAUCAAACAUCAGUGUAACGAACGUAAGAGUAUCUUAACGAAACAAAACUUUCAACAACGGAUCUCUUGGCUCUC